rnacentral:rRNA from 1 species
GGAACGAACGCUGGCGGCAUGCCUAAUACGUGCAAGUCGAACGAACACUUCGGUGUUAGUGGCGCACGGGUGCGUAACGCGUGGGAAUCUGCCCUUGGGUUCGGAAUAACAGUUGGAAACGACUGCUAAUACCGGAUGAUGACGAAAGUCCAAAGAUUUAUCGCCCAGGGAUGAGCCCGCGUAGGAUUAGCUAGUUGGUGAGGUAAAGGCUCACCAAGGCGACGAUCCUUAGCUGGUCUGAGAGGAUGAUCAGCCACACUGGGACUGAGACACGGCCCAGACUCCUACGGGAGGCAGCAGUAGGGAAUAUUGGACAAGUGGGCGCAAGCCUGAUCCAGCAAUGCCGCGUGAGUGGUGAAGGCCUUAGGUGUAAAGCUUCGUUUACCCGAGAUGAUAAUGACAGUAUCGGAGAAUAAGCCCGAUAACCGUCCGUUGCCCAGCAAGCCGAC